rnacentral:rRNA from 1 species
GAUGAACGCUGGCGGCAGGCUUAACACAUGCAAGUCGAGCGGUAACAGAGAGAAGCUUGCUUCUCUGCUGACGAGCGGCGGACGGGUGAGUAAUGCCUAGGAAUCUGCCUAGUAGUGGGGGAUAACUUGCCGAAAGGUAAGCUAAUACCGCAUACGUCCUACGGGAGAAAGGAGGGGACCUUCGGGCCUUUCGCUAUUAGAUGAGCCUAGGUCGGAUUAGUUAGUUGGUGAGGUAAUGGCUCACCAAGACCGCGAUCCGUAACUGGUCUGAGAGGAUGAUCAGUCACACUGGAACUGAGACACGGUCCAGACUCCUACGGGAGGCAGCAGUGGGGAAUAUUGGACAAUGGGGGGAACCCUGGUCCAGCCAUGCCGCGUGUGUGAAGAAGGUCUUAGGAUUGUAAAGCACUUUAAGUUGGGAGGAAGAGCAGUUAACUAAUAUUUGACUGUUUUGACGUUACCGACAGAAUAAGCACCGGCUAACUUCGUGCCAGCAGCCGCCGUAA